UUAAGUUAUUAAGGGCGCACGGUGGAUGCCUUGGCACUAGAAGCCGAUGAAGGACGUUACUAACGACGAUAUGCUUUGGGGAGCUGUAAGUAAGCUUUGAUCCAGAGAUUUCCGAAUGGGGAAACCCAGCAUGAGUUAUGUCAUGUUAUCGAUAUGUGAAUACAUAGCAUAUCAGAAGGCACACCCGGAGAACUGAAACAUCUUAGUACCCGGAGGAAGAGAAAGAAAAUUCGAUUCCCUUAGUAGCGGCGAGCGAAACGGGAAGAGCCCAAACCAACAAGCUUGCUUGUUGGGGUUGUAGGACACUCUAUACGGAGUUACAAAGGACGACAUUAGACGAAUCAUCUGGAAAGAUGAAUCAAAGAAGGUAAUAAUCCUGUAGUCGAAAAUGUUGUCUCUCUUGAGUGGAUCCUGAGUACGACGGAGCACGUGAAAUUCCGUCGGAAUCUGGGAGGACCAUCUCCUAAGGCUAAAUACUCUCUAGUGACCGAUAGUGAACCAGUACCGUGAGGGAAAGGUGAGAAGCACCCCGGAAGGGGAGUGAAAUAGAACCUGAAACCGUGUGCUUACAAGUAGUCAGAGCCCGUUAAUGGGUGAUGGCGUGCCUUUUGUAGAAUGAACCGGCGAGUUACGAUUUGAUGCAAGGUUAAGCAGUAAAUGUGGAGCCGUAGCGAAAGCGAGUCUGAAUAGGGCGUUUAGUAUUUGGUCGUAGACCCGAAACCAGGUGAUCUACCCUUGGUCAGGUUGAAGUUCAGGUAACACUGAAUGGAGGACCGAACCGACUUACGUUGAAAAGUGAGCGGAUGAACUGAGGGUAGCGGAGAAAUUCCAAUCGAACCUGGAGAUAGCUGGUUCUCUCCGAAAUAGCUUUAGGGCUAGCCUCAAGUGAUGAUUAUUGGAGGUAGAGCACUGUUUGGACGAGGGGCCCCUCUCGGGUUACCGAAUUCAGACAAACUCCGAAUGCCAAUUAAUUUAACUUGGGAGUCAGAACAUGGGUGAUAAGGUCCGUGUUCGAAAGGGAAACAGCCCAGACCACCAGCUAAGGUCCCAAAAUAUAUGUUAAGUGGAAAAGGAUGUGGCGUUGCCCAGACAACUAGGAUGUUGGCUUAGAAGCAGCCAUCAUUUAAAGAGUGCGUAAUAGCUCACUAGUCGAGUGACACUGCGCCGAAAAUGUACCGGGGCUAAACAUAUUACCGGAGCUGUGGAUUGUCCUUUGGACAAUGGUAGGAGAGCGUUCUAAGGGCGUUGAAGCAUGAUCGUAAGGACAUGUGGAGCGCUUAGAAGUGAGAAUGCCGGUGUGAGUAGCGAAAGACGGGUGAGAAUCCCGUCCACCGAUUGACUAAGGUUUCCAGAGGAAGGCUCGUCCGCUCUGGGUUAGUCGGGUCCUAAGCUGAGGCCGACAGGCGUAGGCGAUGGAUAACAGGUUGAUAUUCCUGUACCACCUAUAAUCGUUUUAAUCGAUGGGGGGACGCAGUAGGAUAGGCGAAGCGUGCGAUUGGAUUGCACGUCUAAGCAGUAAGGCUGAGUAUUAGGCAAAUCCGGUACUCGUUAAGGCUGAGCUGUGAUGGGGAGAAGACAUUGUGUCUUCGAGUCGUUGAUUUCACACUGCCGAGAAAAGCCUCUAGAUAGAAAAUAGGUGCCCGUACCGCAAACCGACACAGGUAGUCAAGAUGAGAAUUCUAAGGUGAGCGAGCGAACUCUCGUUAAGGAACUCGGCAAAAUGACCCCGUAACUUCGGGAGAAGGGGUGCUCUUUAGGGUUAACGCCCAGAAGAGCCGCAGUGAAUAGGCCCAAGCGACUGUUUAUCAAAAACACAGGUCUCUGCUAAACCGUAAGGUGAUGUAUAGGGGCUGACGCCUGCCCGGUGCUGGAAGGUUAAGAGGAGUGGUUAGCUUCUGCGAAGCUACGAAUCGAAGCCCCAGUAAACGGCGGCCGUAACUAUAACGGUCCUAAGGUAGCGAAAUUCCUUGUCGGGUAAGUUCCGACCCGCACGAAAGGCGUAACGAUUUGGGCACUGUCUCAACGAGAGACUCGGUGAAAUCAUAGUACCUGUGAAGAUGCAGGUUACCCGCGACAGGACGGAAAGACCCCGUGGAGCUUUACUGUAGCCUGAUAUUGAAAUUCGGCACAGCUUGUACAGGAUAGGUAGGAGCCUUUGAAACGUGAGCGCUAGCUUACGUGGAGGCGCUGGUGGGAUACUACCCUAGCUGUGUUGGCUUUCUAACCCGCACCACUUAUCGUGGUGGGAGACAGUGUCAGGCGGGCAGUUUGACUGGGGCGGUCGCCUCCUAAAAGGUAACGGAGGCGCUCAAAGGUUCCCUCAGAAUGGUUGGAAAUCAUUCAUAGAGUGUAAAGGCAUAAGGGAGCUUGACUGCGAGACCUACAAGUCGAGCAGGGUCGAAAGACGGACUUAGUGAUCCGGUGGUUCCGCAUGGAAGGGCCAUCGCUCAACGGAUAAAAGCUACCCCGGGGAUAACAGGCUUAUCUCCCCCAAGAGUUCACAUCGACGGGGAGGUUUGGCACCUCGAUGUCGGCUCAUCGCAUCCUGGGGCUGUAGUCGGUCCCAAGGGUUGGGCUGUUCGCCCAUUAAAGCGGUACGCGAGCUGGGUUCAGAACGUCGUGAGACAGUUCGGUCCCUAUCCGUCGUGGGCGUAGGAAAUUUGAGAGGAGCUGUCCUUAGUACGAGAGGACCGGGAUGGACAUACCUCUGGUGUACCAGUUGUCGUGCCAACGGCAUAGCUGGGUAGCUAUGUGUGGACGGGAUAAGUGCUGAAAGCAUCUAAGCAUGAAGCCCCCCUCAAGAUGAGAUUUCCCAACUUCGGUUAUAAGAUCCCUCAAAGAUGAUGAGGUUAAUAGGUUCGAGGUGGAAGCAUGGUGACAUGUGGAGCUGACGAAUACUAAUCGAUCGAAGACUUAAUCAA
rnacentral:rRNA from 1 species